UUACCAGACUCCUACGGGAGGCAGCAGUGGGGGAUAUUGCACAAUGGGGGAAACCCUGAUGCAGCGACGCCGCGUGAGUGAAGAAGUAUUUCGGUAUGUAAAGCUCUAUCAGCAGGGACGAAAAUGACGGUACCUGAGUAAGAAGCCCCGGCUAACUACGUGCCAGCAGCCGCGGUAAUACAUAGGGAGCAAGCGUUAUCCGGAUUUAUUGGGUGUAAAGGGUGCGUAGACGGGAAAUUAAGUUAGUUGUGAAAUCCCUCGGCUUAACUGAGGAACUGCAACUAAAACUGGUUUUCUUGAGUACGGGAGAGGAAAGUGGAAUGCCUAGUGUAGCGGUGAAAUGCGUAGAUAUUAGGAGGAACACCAGUGGCGAAGGCGGCUUACUGGACAGUGACUGACACUGAGGCUCGAAAGCGUGGGGAGCAAACAGGAUUAGAUACCCUCGUAC
rnacentral:rRNA from 1 species